UGUUAUGUGGUUCUUUCUGUAUUGUAAA
rnacentral:sRNA from 1 species